UGACUAUCACCAGGGUUGAGAGCCGAGU
rnacentral:piRNA from 1 species